GGUUAAGCGACUAAGCGUACACGGUGGAUGCCCUGGCAGUCAGAGGCGAUGAAGGACGUGCUAAUCUGCGAUAAGCGUCGGUAAGGUGAUAUGAACCGUUAUAACCGGCGAUUUCCGAAUGGGGAAACCCAGUGUGAUUCGUCACACUAUCAUUAACUGAAUCCAUAGGUUAAUGAGGCGAACCGGGGGAACUGAAACAUCUAAGUACCCUGAGGAAAAGAAAUCAACCGAGAUUCCCCCAGUAGCGGCGAGCGAACGGGGAGCAGCCCAGAGCCUGAAUCAGUGUGUGUGUUAGUGGAAGCGUCUGGAAAGGCGCGCGAUACAGGGUGACAGCCCCGUACACAAAAAUGCACAUGCUGUGAGCUCGAUGAGUAGGGCGGGACACGUGGUAUCCUGUCUGAAUAUGGGGGGACCAUCCUCCAAGGCUAAAUACUCCUGACUGACCGAUAGUGAACCAGUACCGUGAGGGAAAGGCGAAAAGAACCCCGGCGAGGGGAGUGAAAAAGAACCUGAAACCGUGUACGUACAAGCAGUGGGAGCACGCUUAGGCGUGUGACUGCGUACCUUUUGUAUAAUGGGUCAGCGACUUAUAUUCUGUAGCAAGGUUAACCGAAUAGGGGAGCCGAAGGGAAACCGAGUCUUAACUGGGCGUUAAGUUGCAGGGUAUAGACCCGAAACCCGGUGAUCUAGCCAUGGGCAGGUUGAAGGUUGGGUAACACUAACUGGAGGACCGAACCGACUAAUGUUGAAAAAUUAGCGGAUGACUUGUGGCUGGGGGUGAAAGGCCAAUCAAACCGGGAGAUAGCUGGUUCUCCCCGAAAGCUAUUUAGGUAGCGCCUCGUGAAUUCAUCUCCGGGGGUAGAGCACUGUUUCGGCAAGGGGGUCAUCCCGACUUACCAACCCGAUGCAAACUGCGAAUACCGGAGAAUGUUAUCACGGGAGACACACGGCGGGUGCUAACGUCCGUCGUGAAGAGGGAAACAACCCAGACCGCCAGCUAAGGUCCCAAAGUCAUGGUUAAGUGGGAAACGAUGUGGGAAGGCCCAGACAGCCAGGAUGUUGGCUUAGAAGCAGCCAUCAUUUAAAGAAAGCGUAAUAGCUCACUGGUCGAGUCGGCCUGCGCGGAAGAUGUAACGGGGCUAAACCAUGCACCGAAGCUGCGGCAGCGACGCUUAUGCGUUGUUGGGUAGGGGAGCGUUCUGUAAGCCUGCGAAGGUGUGCUGUGAGGCAUGCUGGAGGUAUCAGAAGUGCGAAUGCUGACAUAAGUAACGAUAAAGCGGGUGAAAAGCCCGCUCGCCGGAAGACCAAGGGUUCCUGUCCAACGUUAAUCGGGGCAGGGUGAGUCGACCCCUAAGGCGAGGCCGAAAGGCGUAGUCGAUGGGAAACAGGUUAAUAUUCCUGUACUUGGUGUUACUGCGAAGGGGGGACGGAGAAGGCUAUGUUGGCCGGGCGACGGUUGUCCCGGUUUAAGCGUGUAGGCUGGUUUUCCAGGCAAAUCCGGAAAAUCAAGGCUGAGGCGUGAUGACGAGGCACUACGGUGCUGAAGCAACAAAUGCCCUGCUUCCAGGAAAAGCCUCUAAGCAUCAGGUAACAUCAAAUCGUACCCCAAACCGACACAGGUGGUCAGGUAGAGAAUACCAAGGCGCUUGAGAGAACUCGGGUGAAGGAACUAGGCAAAAUGGUGCCGUAACUUCGGGAGAAGGCACGCUGAUAUGUAGGUGAAGUCCCUCGCGGAUGGAGCUGAAAUCAGUCGAAGAUACCAGCUGGCUGCAACUGUUUAUUAAAAACACAGCACUGUGCAAACACGAAAGUGGACGUAUACGGUGUGACGCCUGCCCGGUGCCGGAAGGUUAAUUGAUGGGGUUAGCCGCAAGGCGAAGCUCUUGAUCGAAGCCCCGGUAAACGGCGGCCGUAACUAUAACGGUCCUAAGGUAGCGAAAUUCCUUGUCGGGUAAGUUCCGACCUGCACGAAUGGCGUAAUGAUGGCCAGGCUGUCUCCACCCGAGACUCAGUGAAAUUGAACUCGCUGUGAAGAUGCAGUGUACCCGCGGCAAGACGGAAAGACCCCGUGAACCUUUACUAUAGCUUGACACUGAACAUUGAGCCUUGAUGUGUAGGAUAGGUGGGAGGCUUUGAAGUGUGGACGCCAGUCUGCAUGGAGCCGACCUUGAAAUACCACCCUUUAAUGUUUGAUGUUCUAACGUUGACCCGUAAUCCGGGUUGCGGACAGUGUCUGGUGGGUAGUUUGACUGGGGCGGUCUCCUCCUAAAGAGUAACGGAGGAGCACGAAGGUUGGCUAAUCCUGGUCGGACAUCAGGAGGUUAGUGCAAUGGCAUAAGCCAGCUUGACUGCGAGCGUGACGGCGCGAGCAGGUGCGAAAGCAGGUCAUAGUGAUCCGGUGGUUCUGAAUGGAAGGGCCAUCGCUCAACGGAUAAAAGGUACUCCGGGGAUAACAGGCUGAUACCGCCCAAGAGUUCAUAUCGACGGCGGUGUUUGGCACCUCGAUGUCGGCUCAUCACAUCCUGGGGCUGAAGUAGGUCCCAAGGGUAUGGCUGUUCGCCAUUUAAAGUGGUACGCGAGCUGGGUUUAGAACGUCGUGAGACAGUUCGGUCCCUAUCUGCCGUGGGCGCUGGAGAACUGAGGGGGGCUGCUCCUAGUACGAGAGGACCGGAGUGGACGCAUCACUGGUGUUCGGGUUGUCAUGCCAAUGGCACUGCCCGGUAGCUAAAUGCGGAAGAGAUAAGUGCUGAAAGCAUCUAAGCACGAAACUUGCCCCGAGAUGAGUUCUCCCUGACCCUUUAAGGGUCCUGAAGGAACGUUGAAGACGACGACGUUGAUAGGCCGGGUGUGUAAGCGCAGCGAUGCGUUGAGCUAACCGGUACUAAUGAACCGUGAGGCUUAACCUU
rnacentral:rRNA from 1 species